CCCGACGACAAGAGUGCUGUGGUCCUACCUGACCCCAUACCGAACUCAGAAGUAAAACGCAGUGACGUCGAUGGUAGUGUGGUGAUUCGCCAUGUGAGAGUAGAGCAUCGUCGGGG
rnacentral:rRNA from 1 species